CAGAGAAUAGUUUAAUUAUAAAAUAGUAACAUUGGAAGUUAUAGAUUAAAUUUUUUUUAUUUUCUGA
rnacentral:tRNA from 1 species